CCUCAAGUGGGCGGAGGAAGGCAGGGUCUGGGGAGGAGCAGAAACAGGCUGUUCCCUCCACCCAGUGUUUUGUCCUCCUGAGGAAGAGUACAGACAUAUCUGAGAGAGCCCCAUAGCCUUUGGGCUUGAAAAAGACAACAUAUAUGUGUUUGAACCAAAGAUCACCUAGGAAGGCUCAGUGAGAAAUGGGAGCCUGAAGAGAGAUGAUACAGAAUUCCUCCUGCAAGUAUCUGAUUCUGCAGAGAUUUAAUAGAAGACUGCACAAGCAGCAUCUAGAAACAAAGCUCCCACUAAGCCUGGAGAGUACACGGCACUGAUGUAUGGACCACUAUACCCGAAUAUGGGAUACUUUAGAGAUG